rnacentral:rRNA from 1 species
AUCCUUGAAGUGAGUUUAAGGUAAAUUCUGCUCAAUGAAUUUUAAAUAGCCGCAGUAGCCUGACUGUGUUAAGGUAGCAUAAUCAUUAGUCUUUUAAUUGAAGACUGGAAUGAAGGGAUUUAACUAGGAAGAACGUUUUGGUUUUAUUUAUUUAAUUUAUAUUAUAAAUAAAAAUAUUUAUAUAAAUCUAAGGGACGAGAAGACCCUAAAAGUUUUAUGUGAAAAUGAUUUAUUUAUCAAUGAAAUUUUCUCGUUUGAUUGGGGUGAUUUAUGAAGAAGUAAUCUUUAAUAUUGAUUGUAUGUAUAUAUAUAUAAUUACUUUAGGGAUAACAGCAUAAUUUGAUUGAAGAGUUCUUAUUAAUAAUCAAGUUUGUGACCUCGAUGUUGAAUUAAAGUUUAUAGAUGGUGUAGGGGCUUUCUAUUCUAGUCUGUUCGACUAAAUACUUUACA